rnacentral:rRNA from 1 species
AUACGGAGGACGCGAGCGUUAUCCGGAUUCAUUGGGUUUAAAGGGUGCGCAGGCGGCCGUGCAAGUCAGCGGUGAAAGCCCGGGGCUCAACCCCGGAAGUGCCGUUGAUACUGCAUGGCUGGAAUGCGGUCGAGGCGGGCGGAACGUGGCGGGUAGCGGGGGAAUGCGUAGAUAUGCCACAGAACGCCGAUAGCGGAGGCAGCUCGCCAGGCCUGCAUUGACGCUCGGGCACGAAAGCGUGGGGAUCGAACAGGAUUAGAUACCCUGGUAGUCCACGCCGUAAACGAUGGGCGCUCGUCGUCGGCGGCAGACAGUCGGCGGCCAAGCGAAAGCGAUAAGCGCCCCACCUGGGGAGUACGGUCGCAAGGCUGAAACUCAAAUGAAUUGACGGGG